AUUUAACUCCCAACCCCCUGUGACAUACCACUUGUUGCCUCGGCGGAUCAGCCCGCUCCCGGUAAAACGGGACGGCCCGCCAGAGGACCCCUAAACUCUGUUUCUAUAUGUAACUUCUGAGUAAAACCAUAAAUAAAUCAAAACUUUCAACAACGGAUCUCUUGGUUCUGGCAUCGAUGAAGAACGCAGCAAAAUGCGAUAAGUAAUGUGAAUUGCAGAAUUCAGUGAAUCAUCGAAUCUUUGAACGCACAUUGCGCCCGCCAGUAUUCUGGCGGGCAUGCCUGUUCGAGCGUCAUUUCAACCCUCAAGCACAGCUUGGUGUUGGGACUCGCGUUAAUUCGCGUUCCCCAAAUUGAUUGGCGGUCACGUCGAGCUUCCAUAGCGUAGUAGUAAAACCCUCGUUACUGGUAAUCGUCGCGGCCACGCCGUUAAACCCCAACUUCUGAAUGUUGACCUCGGAUCAGGUAGGAAUACCCGCUGAACUUAAGCAUAUCAAUAAGCGAGGGAAAAAGAAAACCCCC
rnacentral:rRNA from 1 species